CCUUACUCCUCUCUCUCUCUCUCUCUCUCUCUCUCUCUCUACAUAUAUAUAUGUAUACAUCAGAUUUUGUUUGGGGCGUUGAAUUGGAAUAUGUGCUUGUACUGUACAAUUUGAUUCACUCUUUGGUCGCUGACUAGAAAAGGAGGGAAAUUGGUUUGUGUUUCGGAAUCGACUGAACUGGUUUCCAGCUUAGUCUUGGGGAGUCAGACCGAACGAGGAGCUGAGAGGGGUAGAGCGUCCAUCUCAAGUGCGUGAUUGCCCAAUCACACAUCGGUAGUCCAUUGGGGGAGGUUGUAGGAGAGACUGAUUCAUUUGAGGCUCCAAUGAGAGGUCUGCCUACCGGAGAUCUACCUGGAAUGCAUCAAUCUUACCAAUUGGAUGGAAGGAACUACCUACAGUGGGCUCAGUUGGUGAAGACCUUCCUAAAGGGAAGAGGAAACCUGAGUCACUUAACGACUCCAAGCCCUAAGGCAUUAGAUCCUUGAUUUCUAGCUUGGGAUAUAGAAGAUACUAUGAUCAUGUCAUGGCUGCGGAAUGCUAUGUAGCCGAAGGUUAGUAAAAAUUAUAUGUUUUUGUCCACUUCUGAAAACAUAUGGGAGAUAAUUAGGCGUGCUUACUCUAAAGUACAUGAUGCUUCAGUUAUUUGUGAAAUUAAGAUGAUAUUGAGUAGCACUAAGCAAGGGGCCCUAACAAUCAUAGAAUAUUACAACAAGAUGAAUGGGAAUUGGCUGAAACUUGACCACUACCAAGACAUUAAAAUGGUAUUUGGUAAAGAUGCAGCCACCCUCAAUUCUAUACUUGAAAGAGAUAGAACUGUGGAGUUCUUGGCUAGACUCAAUAUCAAGUAUGACCAAGUGAGGGUUCAAGUACUUGGAAGAGAAAAGCUUUCAUCCCUAAAUGAUGCCUUUUCUGUUGUUUGAAGUAAGGAGAAUAGGAGGAUAGCCAUGUUGGGGGAGACCACUUUUGAAGGAUUAGCCAUGCUAAUUAAUAAAGGAGAAGGAUUAAAGUUCAAAUCUCAAUAAGGAAAGACUAAUGGGCCAUCUAAGUCUCAAGGGAAAGAAGGUUUGUGGUACUCCUACUGUAAAAAACCUAAACAUACUCGAGAAACUUGCUUCAAGCUGCAUGGGAAGGAAGCUGUGCUACAAAAAUUAGGGGGUUUCAAAAUUUUACCCUCUAGGAAUCAAGUCUAUCUUUCCAACAAGCAAGAAGAGACUAUAGAAAAGGCUGGAUCUGUGGCUGGACCAGAGCUUAACCAGCUAAAUGCUGAUGAAAUCAACAGACUCAAGGUGUUCCUGAAAACCAUCCAAGAUGUAUCAUGCUCUAUUACCCAACAAGGUAACCUUCAAGGAAAUGGGCACGGGAAGAAUGAUUGGUGUUGCUGAGGAGAGGAAUGGGCCGUAUGUUCUAAAGAGGAAGAAUUUGAUGCCUAAAGGGAUUCAACCUAAGCUAGCCUGCACAUCUCAGUCUCCUACAACCCUUGCACACAUUUGGCUCCACCACUAUCAGCUGGGACACCAUCUUUUUCAUUUGCUAAAAAAUAUGUUUCUUGAUUUGUUCAAACAUUUAAAUCCUAGUACUUUGCAUUGUGAUGUAUUGAAAUUUCAAAGCAUCAUCAAGUCUCCUAUUCUCUUAGCAAUAAACUGUCUUCUCAUCCUUUUGCACUAAUUCAUUCUGAUGUUUGGGGGCUAUCUAGGAUUCCUAAUUGUUCUGGGGGCUAGAUGGUUCAUAUGUUUUAUAGAUGAUUGCACUAGGGUGACUUGGGUGUUUCUUCUCAAGGAUAAGGCUGCUAUUAGUACUGUUUUGCCCCCCUUUUAUACAAUGAUCUCGACUCAAUUUGGCAUUCCUAGUCAGAAAUUUUGGACUAAUAAUGCAAGAGAUUAUUUUAAUCAACACUUGUAUCAAUUUUUUCAGCAAAAAGGGGUUAUCCACGAGUCUUCCUGCAUCAACACUCCACAACAAAAUAGAGUGGCUGAGAGAAAGAUGAGACACCUCCUAAAUGUAACUAGAACUCUCCUCCAUCAUCAUCAAGUCCCUGAGAAUUUUUGGGGAGAAGCAGUCCUCAUUACACUAUCUCAUCAAUAGAGUGCCUUCUAAACUCCUUGGUCAUCAACCUAUCUAGUGUUUAUCAUCCCAUUUUCUUGACACAUCAGUCUCUACCUCUUAAAGUCUUUGGCUAUGUGGCCUUUGUUCACAUUCCUAAGCAAAGUAGGGAUAAGUUGGACCCUAGGACUCUUUGCUACAUCUUCCUUGGCUAUUCAUUUACCCAAAAAGGCUACAAAUGCUAUCAUUCCUCUACCAGAAAAUUCUUUGUUUCUAAAGAUGUGACCUUUGUUGAAUCACAACCCUUUUUUUUGGGCUCUUUUCACCUUGGUCGUUGGUCUCCAGGGGGAAAAUCAGUAGAUGGGUGACCAAGGGAGCUCCCUUUCUAGACUAGACUUAGUCCCUCUCGAAAUACCUACUGAAUCAGAACCUACUGGUUCUAAUUCUAUCUCUGAUCAUUUUGAUCAUCACUCACCUUUUCCCAGUUAUCAAAAUCUUUUUGAUCAAGCAGGUAAAAUAGAGGUUUCAUCCCCAGUAAGGUUCAAAGGCUCUCCAUUUGUGUACCAUAGAAGACAACAACCUAUUCUUCAGCCUCAACAAGGAUCUACAUCUGAUUCCUAGCCAGGUACUGAAAUGAUUCAACCCUCAAAUCCUUUUAACUUUAGCCCUAAUGAUUUGGAUAUUCUUAUUACCAUCAGAAAAGGGGUUAAAAGCUACACUUAGCACCCUCUAGCCAACUAUAUCUCCUAUCACAGGCUGUCCCAAAGGCAUAAACUUCCCUGGAUACUAUUGUCAUUCCUAAAUUGAUGGAUGAGGCUUUAAAGAAUUAGAAUUGGAAGCUAGCCAUGCAGGAGGAAAUGAGAGCAUUGGAGAAUAAUAACACAUGGGAUCUGGUGCAUAGGCCAAAGGGGGUGGUUUCAGUGGGCUGUAGAUGGAUUUUCAAUAUAAAAUAUAAUGCAAAUGGAUCUUUGGAAAGGUACAAGGCCCGAUUAGUGGCUAAGGGUUACACCCAAACAUAUGAGAUUGACUACUUAGAGACAUUUGCUCCACUGGCCAAGAUGACCACUAUGAGGAUCCUCUUAUCCCUAGUAGCUCACUAUGGAUGGCAUUUACAGUAACUAGAUGUGAAUAAUGAAUUCCUUCAUGGUGAUUUAGAAGAGGAGGUGUUCAUGGAACAUACAUCAAGUUUCGAGAAAAGAAGAGCAGAUGUAGUGUGUAAGCUGAAAAAUGCUCUCUAUGGCCUCAAGUAGUCACCAAGAGCUUGGUUUGAUAGGUUCUCCAAAGCUAUGAAGCUUAUGGGAUACUAGCAAAGUAGGGGGGACCACACUCUUUUUCAAGCACUCAUUGGAGGGAAAGGUGACAACAUUACUAGUCUACAUGGAUGACAUUACCAUAAUGGGAGGUGACAUGGAAGAAUAAAAGGUUCUAAGAAGCAAGCUGGCUCAGAACUUUGAAAUCAAAGAUCUAGGAUUACUUAAAUACUUAUUGGGAAUAGAAGUGGCCUACUCCAAAGCAGGUAUUUUCCUAUCCCAAUGCAAGUAUAUACUAGAUCUUUUAAAAGAAACAGGCUUGUUGGGAGGAAAAGGAGUGUGCACUCCAUUGGAACCUAAUACUAAAUUGGGAGGAGAUGCCAAUAGUCCUCUAGUGGACAAAGGGAGGUUACAAAGGCUGGUAGGUCAGUUAAUCUACUUGUCACACACCAAGCUAGAUAUUGUCUAUGUAGUGAGCUUAGUAAGCCAAUUUAUGUAUAGUUCUACCGAGGAUCAUAUGCAGGCUGUAAGAAUAAUAUUGUGAUACUUGAAAACAAUCCUGGUAAAGGAAUUCUGUUCAAAUCAGGUGGUAUUUUGGAUAUACAUGGCUAUACAGAUGCAGAUUAUACUGGAUCUUUCAUGGAUACAAGGUCUACUACUGAAUAUUGUGUGUUUCAGAUGGGAACUUGGUCUCUUGGCGAAGCAGAGUAUAGUGGCAAGGUCAAGUGUUGAAGCGGGCUAUGGCACUUGGUCUAUGUGAAUUAUUAUGGUUUGAGGAUUGUUCUAGAAGAUUUGAAGAUUGUUGUUAAUGAGCCAAUUAGGUUAUUUUCUAAUAACCAAUCAGUCAUAAGCAUUGUUCAUAAUCAUGUGCAGCAUAACAGGACUAAGCACAUAUUGAGAUUGACUGGCAUUUUAUAAAGGAAAAGCUUGAGAAAGGUAUAAUUCAAAUACUCUAUGUUCCAUCCGAAAAACAAGUGAUAGAUCUUCUAACAAAAGGAUUGGCUUCUAGAAGAUUCAAGCUAGGAAUGAUGGACAUUCAUUCACUAGUUUGAGAAGGAGUGUAGGCAUGUGAAAUUCAAGAAAGGCAAGAAAGUAGCUGUCCAAGGAAGCAGCUGUCCACGACUGUUGCUUCUAGAAUGAUAAGGUUUUAGAAAGUUUCUAAAUUCUGUUUUUGGAUAGUUUCCUAAUUCCAAAUUAGGAUACUUUCGUAAUGUGUAUUAUUGUAAUCUUUCCUAAGUUGUAAAUAUUUCAUCCUAUAACUAGGGCUGUAAAUGAAAUAUUUAAGUUCUUCCGUCCAAUCUUACAAUAUUGUC